UUAAUGAAUAUGAUUACUACUAAUACUAGGGGUUUUAUUGUCACACUAAAUUCAAUUUUUUUCCCCUACGUGUCUCGUUUCCUUCCCUCUCUUUCCUUUCUGAGUCAGAGGUAACCUUAAAAAAGGAGGGAUAAGCGAGCCUACCACUUGAUAUUAAUAGCAGAGAGGCUUAUCAGUAAAAUUGUGUGUGAGAACAAGCGUCCGUCUGUGAGGUGUGAACUGGCAAAGGACAGGAAAUAAAAAGGGGAGAAGAGCUCAGAGGCAGGAGGUGGGGUUCAGUGGUCAGGAAGGGCCACGGGGGCGUUUAUUUCUCCCUCUGACGCUGGUCCUUCGCUGUUUUGGACCAGGUCCCCGAAGCUGAGCGUGCCAGAGUUUUGCGAUCUGUAAAAUGGGAAAACAGCUCACGACGUGGCAUGCAUUUGAGUGCUAAAGUAAUUGCUAUGUACCGAAGUAACUCUUGUCUCUCCCGGAACGGUGCCUGGCACGUAGUAAGCGCUCCUCGAUUGGGAUCAUGUCUGCUAAUUCAGUUGCCCUUCCCCAAGCGCUUAUACAGUGGUUCGCACGGAGCAAACGCUCGAUAAAUACUAGCCAUUGAUCGGCGAGGAAGUCCGUAAGCUCGCUGUGGGCAGGGGAUGUGUCUAUCCUAGUGCUCUGCCCACGGUAAGCGCUCGAUAAAUACGAUUGACUGACUGACGGAGGGGCGACAGGUCCGAGUAGUUAGUAAUGGCAUUUGUUAAGCGUUUACCCACAGCCAGGAAGUUGAGGUGGGUAGGGUGCUGUCCCUUGUCGUCACUCUGAUAGAGAAACCAGGGCAGAUCUGUGGCGUAACAAGCCAGCCCCCUACACAGCCGGGAUUCCCACCGGGCGGCGGUGGGGCCGGUGUGUCGACGGGGGUCCGGGGUCCAAACGGGCAGGCCGCGGUGGUCUUCCCCCUGACCAAACCCCGGAGGGUUUUAUCGUCCCGGCACCGUCGGUUUCCGGGGCCUGUCUCAUCUCGCGAUCGGACUCUGCUGCCUUGGCAAUGACCUCCCUCUCCUUCCCUUGUGUGUUCCUACAGUCAGACAAGUACCCUGUUCAAGACACAGAGCUCCCUAAAGUGAACGACUACGACCAGAUCACCCUGAAGAUAACCCCAAGUAUAACGUCGAGUGAUGUAAUACAUCAGGUAAGGAAAGUUGUGGUGAUUCCUCCUAGCCCACUUGACCCACUUUGACAUUUGCAUAAUUCCCUUGGAACAAGUCACUGAGGGAGAUGAUGAGCGAUUCCCCCCCAGCCAAAGCUUUCCGCCAACUUGUCAAGAAAGCCCCCGGCCUUCUGGGGCUGUGGGAUUGGAAAUGAUCUUUGCCUACGUCCCAGUGGAAAAAGCCUAUCACACCCCAUCUUUCCAGCCCGACGGGCGUCGUGUGGUUUUUGUGUCGUACUGUCGCCGAGCUCUGAAAAUACGGCAGCUGCCAGCCUAGCCUUGAAGCAAAAAGCGGUGUGGCCUAGUGGAUCGACUCUGUGGGCCUGGGAGUCAGAAGGACCUGGGUUCUAAUCCCGGCUCUGCCACUUCUCUGCCGGGUGACCUCGGGCAAAUCACUUCCCUUCUCUGAGUCUCCGUGACCUCAUCUAUAAAAUGGGGCUAUGAAUGCGAGCCCCAUGGGAGACAGGGACUGGGUCCAACCUGAUUAAUUUGUAUCUGCCCAGCGUUUAGAGCGGUUCUUGGCACUACGGUGAGGGCUUAACAAACACCAGAAUCAUUACUAUUAUUGUUACUGUGUGAUGGUACAACUUAAAAGUAUUUAAUGCCGUAAAAUAGCAAUGAGUGGCAAGGGCGUAGAGCAUUCCGCAAGGGUGGACAGAGCAAUAAUGCAGGAAUUUCUAUCCAAAAAUGCCAGUCAAGGAGGUAUCUUCAAAUCUUCUACCCCUCAGCCCGCAGAUUCCCACUGAACCCAAAGGUGCUCUAAUCUGAUUUUCCCACAGCUCGAGGUUCUUCAAGAGCCCAGCCCCAUCAUUCCAGGAGAACUCCCUCUCCUGUUUUUAGUUUUAGAAGUUCUCAAAAGGCUCUUCUGCUUGGACGUUGAGGUGGUUCAGGAAGAUGAAACGACCGUUGCGUUCGACCAAAGUGCAUCCCGGGGGAAUUGGGUUUGGGGCAGACUGGCCUUGGUCUCCUGGCACUGCAGUUCCACUCAUUAUCAUCACCAUAAAUGGUAUUUAUUGAGCGCUUACUAUGUGCGGAGCACUGUCCUCAGCGCAUGGGCUAGUACUUCAUGCUGUCCGCCUCUUUUCCCCAACUCAGAACUCAUCUGCAAAAUUAGGUAAUCCUUGUCAGCGCUGAAACUCAUGAAUUGCCUCUGAGGAUUCAGGUCCAUCCCGCUCCUUCUGUAAACCCCAAAUUAAUUUCUAACUAGACAAAUGUAUUGCUCUGUUUAGUCUUGAUUUUAGGAAAGAGCUAAUAAGCAAUAAAACUUGCCUGUUAAACAGGUAGAUUCUAAGGCAGUUAAAGCACUUUGGUAAUAAAACCAGGUGAGUUUAGUUAAAUAAGAAAUUAUAUCCAUAAAACCCAGUGACCUUAAAUUUCAGCUUACUGAGAGCGGGGCCCCUGGAAAUCUCACAGCUGGAGAAUUUGAGGUUUUUCUCAAGUUCAUUUUCCAAGGUCCAUGAGGCUGUGUGCCAUCAAUCAAUCAGU
rnacentral:lncRNA from 1 species